UGAAACGAUAGCUAAUACUGAAACAAU
rnacentral:sRNA from 1 species